CCAAUAUUUAGUUUGUGAUAAGUGGCGCCCUAUUUUCUGUAUUAAUACUUUGCUAAUAUACAGUUCUGGUUUUUGUAUACUAUAAAUUUAGUCAGAUAAAGGACAGUCUCAUCCAAGGUACAUAAAGAUGGCACAGGUACCGGAUUUGCCAAGACAGUCCCACAUUAGGGAUUCUGUCCCAGCAAAAAUAGGUCCUAGAGACCAAUUCCACAUUGUGAAACCUGCCUAAACAUUUCAAAAUGGAGGGUUAAAUUUAUGGGUUGAUGUCACACCAAUGUUGUAUAAUGUAUUGCUGCACUAUAGAAUAUAGCUAGUUAAUGCAAAUUGUGUUGGGCAUACAUGAACUGGCUACUUGGUAGAGGUGAUAUGGCCAAUUUGAUUGUAGAGGAUAGAUGUCAGAAGAUUUACAAUAAGAAAUCCUCUUUUGAAGCUUUGACUCUAGAUCUCCUCUGCAAUGUGUGAAAUAUUACCCAUGAGUAUUUGACCUGUAAGUCUGCUUUCAACUAACUGGCUUCUACCAUAUGCCUGUAUCUCCUCUUAGAGAGUGGGUUCUUUUGACAUGUUAAUGAGCAUUAGCAUUGAAGAGAACUAGUGUGUUCCAGUGUCAUAUCCAAAAAAACAUUAAUAAUAACCCACAGGUGAAUAAUCAUGCCUCCUUUUGUGAAUCUGAAAAAAAAAAAAGAGUUUAAAUAUGGCAAGCGCAGCUUAAGUCGUUUGGAAGGAGUUAUGAAGUCC